GUCCCUAGCUGACCUAAAGGAAACGUAAGGAGAGUUGCUGACGGGACUGCUGGCCAAUCAGAUCGUGAAAAGUGACACCGGACUUUUUUGUUCACCAAUACGUUUGCGGAGCCGUUGUGACUGAUACAAAAUAAUGCAAUAGUGGCUCACGAGUCGCCAGCCACACCGAGCACCCCCUCCCCGACUCCCCCCAGUCUAGACAAUGACAGACAUGAACAGCAACGUUUUACCGAGAGGUUCACCGGGGGACACGCACACCGGCUGCCCUACAUAAAAUGCACCCAUUGUAGGCCGGAGUGUCAGCUGAGGACGACUUGCAACCUAGAAACGGCGCUCUGGCCCCUCCUUCUCUUUGUCGGGCGCAUUGUAAACGCCAGCCAGAGGUCUUCUGAAGUGUUCUUUUUUCCCCAGUGAAAACAGAUCGUAAAAUUGGCCUGGACCCCAGAACGCGCUUUUCUCCAUUUUCAUCAACCCCUGUCGAGACCCCUCGCGAUUCCUCACCAAAGGCCCAAUGACAUCAUCAGAGCCCUUUGUAUAGAGCUGCUAGGGGUUCGUUUCAUUUCAAGCAGUCCUGCUCUCGAUGCGUUCGAUUUAUAUCUUAUAGUUUAUAUUUAUUUUGAACAGAGUUAACGCGCCUUUCUUAAAGCGCGAACGCUACAUCUGGGAGAAACAACGCUCCGCAGGAGUGCACUUCGCAACUUACUUUUUGCAUUGUGUUAUGUAGCCUACAGCAACAUAAACUUUGUGAGAUGAUAUCAGAAAAACUGCUCAUGACCGAGAGUGCGGAGAGCACGCUGAAGUGUUCGGUGUUCGCGGACCCUUGCGCGCGCGCGCCUAACUAUAUGGAGACUCACGAUAUUCUUCAGAUCUUUCAGGUGAGAAGAAAAAAGCAAAGCUGCAGCUACUGAUAUGUAUUCUUACGAAGAAAAUGGUAGACAGUGAUGAAUUGCUUUGCACAAAAUGGCGAAGGACAUUUCAGAGCGCUAAUAGAAGUUCCCAAAAAAAGAGAAAGCGCAGCGUGUUGAUAUCUUAUUGUUCUGCUUUAUUUAAUACAGAGCUGCAUAUUGUUUUAUGAGUAGGCCUCUUACGAAAACAAGCAAACAAAAUAGAGCUCUGACUAACUAUCAAAGUCAUUUUAGCAGCAGAUAAGAAAUAUUUAGUUGCUUGAGACAUCCAGGACAGGACCGUUGUUGUGUUCUCGUGUGUGCUGUUUCUGGACAUCACAGAGAAACUGGUUUUUGAUAGACCACAUGAUUCACUUCACUUCAUGUUAGAACAGGGAUUUUAACUCUGAUUUAUUUUUUAUCUAUUAAGUGUGUUAUAUAGAUUAAUAUAUUUUAUAUAGAUUUGUUUCAGACAGAAUCAUGACUGAAUUGAGAGGUUUUACUGGUGACUACAUUUAAGAAGGAUUCGAGCUGAUCUUGUUAAAUAUAUUGCAUACUGUAGUCACUGUCAUUUAACUUGACCCUAUAAACAUAAUUAUUAUUAUUAUUUAUUUUUUAAUAGUUGUAAACCAUUCUAAUCACAACUGACUUUACACAAACUUUUGCAGGUACAAAUAAAGAUCAAAAUCCGUGAUGAGUUAAGCAACACUUUUGUGAAAUCAUAACGAAUUCUAAAGGGCUCUGCAACAAAUUGAAUCCAAGUUUAUGCUUUUAUUUAUAUAUUUCUUUAAAUGAGGUGUAUUGCUUGCUGCAGGUCAUUCCGUCACUCUGCAUUGUUGUUUCCAAGCAACUGUCUUCAGAUUUGUAUUUUUUUUUAAAUAUCUCCAAAUGUAUCAUAUUUUACCACAAUUUUUGGAAGACGCUAUUUGCAUUCUUUCUCAUCGCUGAAAUAUUAAUAAUGUAGUUCAUGAAUGUCUUUGACAUAAAUAUCUCAAUGAAAACACUCAAGUGGCAAGUUAAAGCUUUACAUGUAAAGAAAAAAAGUAUUUAACAAGAGGAAUUAGUGACAGGUUUUCUCUGGAUUUCAGAGACAACAGAAUGGAUGGAUUUGUACAGUACUUAUAAUUCUUAGAUUGUUAUUGUUUUAGGAAUUAACUGUGUUUUAUAAGAUAAAGCUACUUCUAGCUAGUAUUCUCCAAAAUAAAUAAAUAAACAUCUGGUGUUUCAAGACCGG
ensembl:lncRNA